UGAGUACGAGAUGCUACGGCAUCGAAGCAGUCUAUGUCAUACUUCCAAGAAAAGCUUGCACUGUCAUAAACAAAGAAUGCCUGUACCAUAACCGACACAGGUGGGUAGGUAGAGUAUACUAAGGUGCGCGAGAUAACUCUCUCUAAGGAACUCGGCAAAAUGACUCCGUAACUUCGGGAGAAGGAGUGCCUUAUUUAUAAGGUUGCAAUAACAAGAUCCAAGCAACUGUUUACCAAAAACACAGGUCUCCGCGAAGUCGUAAGACGAUGUAUGGGGGCUGACGCCUGCCCAGUGCCAGAAGGUUAAAGAAGUUGGUUAGCAUUCGCGAAGCUGAUAACUGAAGCCCUGGUGAACGGCGGCCGUAACUAUAACGGUCCUAAGGUAGCGAAAUUCCUUGUCGGGUAAGUUCCGACCCGCACGAAAGGCGUAAUGAUUUGGAUACUGUCUCGGAGAGGGGCUCGGCGAAAUAGACUUGUCUGUGAAGAUGCGGACUACCUGCACCUGGACAGAAAGACCCUAUGAAGCUUUACUGUAACUUGAAAUUGAAAUUGGACUUUAUUUGCGCAGUAUAGGUGGGAGGCGUUGAGAAUAACCUUGCGGGGUUAUUGGAGCCAUCAGUGAGAUACCACUCUUGUAAUGUUAGAUUUCUAACUUUGUAUCAUUAUCUGGUCAAAGAACAGUUUCAGGCGGGCAGUUUGACUGGGGCGGUCGCCUCCCAAACGGUAACGGAGGCGCACAAAGGUUUCCUCUGAACGGGUAGAAAUCGUAUCUAGAGUGUAAAGGCAUAAGGAAGCUUGACUGUGAGACCUACAAGUCGAGCAGGGACGAAAGUCGGUCUUAGUGAUCUGACGGUGCUGAGUGGAAAGGCCGUCAUUCAACGGAUAAAAGUUACUCUAAGGAUAACAGGCUGAUCUCCCCCAAGAGUUCACAUCGACGGGGAGGUUUGGCACCUCGAUGUCGGCUCAUCGCAUCCUGGGGCGGUAGUACGUCCCAAGGGUUGGGCUGUUCGCCCAUGAAAGCGGUACGCGACCUGGGUUUAGAACGUCGUGAGACAGUUCGGUCCCUAUCUUUCGUGGGCGGAGGAUACUUGAGAGGAGUUGUCCUUAGUACGAGAGGACCGGGAUGAACGCACCACUGGUGCUCCAGUUGUCUUGCCAAAGGCAUAGCUGGGUAGCUACAUGCGGACAGGAUAACCGCUGAAAGCAUCUAAGCGGGAAGCCCCCCUCAAGAUUAGGUAUCCCGUUCCAGGCUUCGGUCUGGACCUAAAGACCCCUUCUAGACUAGGAGGUUGAUAGGCUGGAGGUGGAAGCGCAGCAAUGCGUGAAGCUGACCAGUACUAAUUGGUCGUGUGGCUUGACCU
rnacentral:rRNA from 1 species